AUGUCCUUUUUCAAUUCAGAUUCGUUUACCCUUGUGCUUCGAUGCUCCCACCACAGCCCAUUUUUCAGAGUUCACACCUUCCUCAUUAGCAGUAGCGUGUCUUUCAACACCACUUCCUUCUGUUUCAGCUUUGAUCUCACAACUUUCUCACCACUACAAUAUUUGAAGCUAAAAGUUUCUCAUUGUCUCCUUAGUACUUAA